GCGCAUUUAGUGUAGUGGUAUCAUAGUAUCCUCCCACGGUAUUGACCAGGGCGCAAUUCCCCGAAUGCGCA
rnacentral:tRNA from 1 species